GCAGGCUGAGAGCAGAGCCUGAGUGCGCCGCCGGUUCAGCCGGGCAGGGUCGCCUCGCGCCAGGAUGCUGCGCCCCGCCGCCCUGUCCAGCCAGCAACCCUGGCGCGACCCCGGGAAGAAGCACAGGUUCUUUCGUCCAGUCGCCGCUGGAGGACCGAAAGUUUUGCUCGCUGCAAGUCUCUUCCUCCCAGAGUCCCAGUCACCCACCAUGCGACGUCCCAGAAGGAUCCCGGAGGCUUAGUGGGAACGAAAUCGGCUGUUUUGCACCCCUCCAUCCUUAUCCCUCAGGGUAGAGCAGGGACUCUAGAGAGUACACCUCCCAGCUACCAUCCACUUCACCCUGUCUCCUCUCUCGGUGAGCCUUGGAAUCCGGUCUCUUCGCAGAUGCCUUCAGGAGUCAGAAGCAAAGGGGAAAUGGACAUAACUCCGAGAAACCGAGUGAACGUCCAGCCUCAGCAACAGCUUUGCCACCAUGAGCUUCAUUGAUCACAUCCUACCACAACUAGGAGACCUAAACCUUGCUCACUGACAGCAUUUGAAGAUGCAAAUACUGCUAUGGAUUGGAAGGUGCCUGAGGAAUGAAAGGGGACAUAGCCAUGUAAGUACAGCAUCUUCUUGCUGCCUGGUUACUUGUAGGCUGUUGCUUUCCUACUCCAAAUCGAGGGCUGCUUGGUGCUUAGGCAGAAUACUACAGACAGCUCAUAUUGCCAGUUCAUGGAUUAUGAAAUUGAGUCCAUCAGGGAAGCUCCUUCCCAUUGUUUUCCCCCACCCCCUAGAUAUCAAACGCCUGGCCAGUGCUGCCGCAAUGCACUGUACAACUGCACCUCUUCUUUCUGCUAUUCACAUCACAGGCAUUGUAGAUUUCUUAAUACAACCUGCCUGGAAAAUAGCCGAGAGGUGGCACUGGGACUGUCCAGGCUCUCUAAGGCUCAUGAUGGGCUACACGGACCGGAGAAGGAACGGCGUUGUAGAUGAGUCACCAGCUCCACUGAGAGUUUUACACUUUGCUAGAACAAGAGUCACUCCCUGUGACCACACAGGGGCAGUGCU
rnacentral:lncRNA from 1 species